AGAGGCAUCAAUAUCGUGUUGUCCCACCAUCGCAGCCACUAUCCUCUCGAGCGUCUGGCUAUAAUUCAUCCAAUAAGUAAUUUGAUCCUACAUCAUGCUCAUCGAUGUCCUGACUGCCUCUAGCACUGAGGCAUCCUUAGAUCAGUCAGAUGAUGAAUUGCAGAAUUUUUUUGAGCGCAUGCUGUGCCCAAACCCUAGCUACCAUUCAAGGAUGGCAUCCAGGAUCGCAUCAUCUGUCAUUGAGUAAACAGACCAUGAUCCAACAUUGCAGUCAGAUCCAACCUCCCUCCUCCCCUACUCUCUCAAUUGUAACAUUUUUUUCUUCAC
rnacentral:lncRNA from 1 species